AGACCCGAAACCCGGUGAUCUAGCCAUGGGCAGGUUGAAGGUUGGGUAACACUAACUGGAGGACCGAACCGACUAAUGUUGAAAAAUUAGCGGAUGACCUGUGGCUGGGGGUGAAAGGCCAAUCAAACCGGGAGAUAGCUGGUUCUCCCCGAAAGCUAUUUAGGUAGCGCCUCGUGAAUUCAUCUCCGGGGGUAGAGCACUGUUUCGGCUAGGGGGCCAUCCCGGCUUACCAACCCGAUGCAAACUGCGAAUACCGGAGAAUGUUAUCACGGGAGACACACGGCGGGUGCUAACGUCCGUCGUGAAGAGGGAAACAACCCAGACCGCCAGCUAAGGUCCCAAAGUCAUGGUUAAGUGGGAAACGAUGUGGGAAGGCCCAGACAGCCAGGAUGUUGGCUUAGAAGCAGCCAUCAUUUAAAGAAAGCGUAAUAGCUCACUGGUCGAGUCGGCCUGCGCGGAAGAUGUAACGGGGCUAAACCAUGCACCGAAGCUGCGGCAGCGACACUGUGUGUUGUUGGGUAGGGGAGCGUUCUGUAAGCCUGUGAAGGUGUGUCGUGAGGCAUGCUGGAGGUAUCAGAAGUGCGAAUGCUGACAUAAGUAACGAUAAAGCGGGUGAAAAGCCCGCUCGCCGGAAGACCAAGGGUUCCUGUCCAACGUUAAUCGGGGCAGGGUGAGUCGACCCCUAAGGCGAGGCCGAAAGGCGUAGUCGAUGGGAAACGGGUUAAUAUUCCCGUACUUGGUGUUACUGCGAAGGGGGGACGGAGAAGGCUAUGUUGGCCGGGCGACGGUUGUCCCGGUUUAAGCGUGUAGGUGUGUGUUCCAGG
rnacentral:rRNA from 1 species